GGAAUUGUGGCUUAGUGGUAGAGUGCUUGCCUAGCAUGCAUGAAGCCCUAGGUUCAAUACCUCAGUACCA
rfam:Dipodomys ordii contig_37158, whole genome shotgun sequence.